UACGUAGGGUGCGAGCGUUAAUCGGAAUUACUGGGCGUAAAGCGUGCGCAGGCGGUUUUGCAAGACAGAUGUGAAAUCCCCGGGCUCAACCUGGGAACUGCCUUUGUGACUGCAUAGCUGGAGUGCGGCAGAGGGGGAUGGAAUUCCGCGUGUAGCAGUGAAAUGCGUAGAUAUGCGGAGGAACACCGAUGGCGAAGGCAAUCCCCUGGGCCUGCACUGACGCUCAUGCACGAAAGCGUGGGGAGCAAACAGG
rnacentral:rRNA from 1 species